CGGGGUGUAGCGCAGUUUGGUAGCGCAUCUGCUUUGGGAGCAGAGGGUCGCAGGUUCGAAUCCUGUCACCCCGA
rnacentral:tRNA from 1 species